rnacentral:ncRNA from 1 species
CGAUUGGAUAAACGUGAGCAAUCACGCAAAACUCGCCUGUAAUCCCGGCAUCAUCACACCUGUGAUGUGGCGACUGCUCUUGCUGCUGCGGCAGUGAUUUU